rnacentral:rRNA from 1 species
GCAUAUCAAUAAGCGGAGGAAAAGAAACCAACAGGGAUUGCCCUAGUAACGGCGAGUGAAGCGGCAACAGCUCAAAUUUGAAAUCUGGCUCUCGGGCCCGAGUUGUAAUUUGUAGAGGAUACUUUUGAUGCGGUGCCUUCCGAGUUCCCUGGAACGGGACGCCAUAGAGGGUGAGAGCCCCGUCUGGUUGGAUGCCAAAUCUCUGUAAAGUUCCUUCAACGAGUCGAGUAGUUUGGGAAUGCUGCUCUAAAUGGGAGGUAUAUGUCUUCUAAAGCUAAAUACCGGCCAGAGACCGAUAGCGCACAAGUAGAGUGAUCGAAAGAUGAAAAGCACUUUGAAAAGAGAGUUAAAAAGUACGUGAAAUUGUUGAAAGGGAAGCGUUUAUGACCAGACUUGGGCUUGGUUAAUCAUCUGGGGUUCUCCCCAGUGCACUUUUCCAGUCCAGGCCAGCAUCAGUUUUCCCCGGGGGAUAAAGGCGGCGGGAAUGUGGCUCUCUUCGGGGAGUGUUAUAGCCCACCGUGUAAUGCCCUGGGGGGGACUGAGGUUCGCGCAUCUGCAAGGAUGCUGGCGUAAUGGUCAUCAACGACCCGUCUUGAAACACGGACCAAGGAGUCGUCUUCGUAUGCGAGUGUUCGGGUGUCAAACCCCUACGCGUAAUGAAAGUGAACGCAGGUGAGAGCUUCGGCGCAUCAUCGACCGAUCCUGAUGUUCUCGGAUGGAUUUGAGUAAGAGCAUACGGGGCCGGACCCGAAAGAAGGUGAACUAUGCCUGUAUAGGGUGAAGCCAGAGGAAACUCUGGUGGAGGCUCGCAGCGGUUCUGACGUGCAAAUCGAUCGUCAAAUAUGGGCAUGGGGGCGAAAGACUAAUCGAACCUUCUAGUAGCUGGUUUNCGCCGAA